GCACAAGCGGUGGAGCAUGUUGGUUUAAUUCGAAGCAACGCGAAGAACCUUACCAGGUCUUGACAUCCCGAUGCUAUUUCUAGAGAUAGAAAGUUACUUCGGUACAUCGGUGACAGGUGGUGCAUGGUUGUCGUCAGCUCGUGUCGUGAGAUGUUGGGUUAAGUCCCGCAACGAGCGCAACCCCUAUUGUUAGUUGCCAUCAUUCAGUUGGGCACUCUAGCGAGACUGCCGGUAAUAAACCGGAGGAAGGUGGGGAUGACGUCAAAUCAUCAUGCCCCUUAUGACCUGGGCUACACACGUGCUACAAUGGUUGGUACAACGAGUUGCGAGUCGGUGACGGCGAGCUAAUCUCUUAAAGCCAAUCUCAGUUCGGAUUGUAGGCUGCAACUCGCCUACAUGAAGUCGGAAUCGCUAGUAAUCGCGGAUCAGCACGCCGCGGUGAAUACGUUCCCGGGCCUU
rnacentral:rRNA from 1 species